GCAGAAUUCCCUCAAAGAGCAUAUCGACUCCCAAAUCCGCUUGGACAAGGGUGCAACGAGCCGUCUGCAGACCCUGUCAAUCAAAGACGGAACGAUACCUCUUUUUGGGGAGUCGUGUUUUGGGGUCACGCUCGGCCUUUUCAAGGAAAAAAAAAACCCCACUCUUUUUAGUGAUGAGAGUCUUUCACUAACUGCUACAGUCUAAAUGGAGAUAUUUGUCUUUUCGCAGUGACCGCAGUCCCCCGUGUUAAGGAUGACACAAAGAUUGGAACUGCGGACGAAUAAAUAUCGUUUUCUCAGGGUUUAGUGCAGGUGAUGAAUUACUGCAGAUAAAUAAAUUGAAAUCUUGAGACGUGAAGAAACUUAAGUCAUCAGAUUCUUUGCCCAAGAUUUUUAGCACUUCCAAUUUGUACCCAAUCGCGUUAUGCUUCCUCUCUACUGGAGCUGACCCCCGCCUUGAUUGAGGAGAGCAAGACUGUCGCACGCCCCCUCCGACAUGUGUGCAUAGUCGUAGCCGACUGCAUCUUUUCACUUGCACGAGUUGGAGUGCCUGGAGUGAGAGUCCACUAACACCAGUUAAACUAGCUGACUCGAGCAGACCUGGCAAAGAGCUGGAAUUACAGCAGGAACUCCUAGGAUGAUAGAAGUUAAUGAAUUACUUCAAUAAUAAAGGACUUCAAGACUGUGUCAUGGUGGGUCCGAUUCACAAGGAGGAAGGUAGAAAACACCACAUAUAGGUCACCAGUCCAUCACAUGGCAAACACACACCGACACACACACUCUGGGCAAUUUUAGUAGCUCCAUUGAUUCUGACUGACUGUGGGAGGAAACUGAAGCACACCCAUGCAGACAGGCAACACAGAAAGGACCCAGACCGCUCCACCUGGGAAUUAAACCCAGGAACAUCUCGCUGUGAGGCGACAGUGCUACCCAGCGAGCCACCGUGCCGCCAUGAAUACAAACAACAUAUGAAUAUUGUUAUCACAUUAACAGUAGGAAUUUUCAUUGUAAUUUUUUGAUCACCCUUCUUUUAUUCAUUAUUAACAAAAUAAAGGUAGUCUAGAAC